rnacentral:rRNA from 1 species
UGACCGCUGGCGUCGUGCCUAAUACAUGCAAGUCGAGCGACCGGACGAGAAGCUUGCUUCUCUGAUGUUAGCGGCGGACGGGUGAGUAACACGUGGAUAACCUACCUAUAAGACUGGGAUAACUUCGGGAAACCGGAGCUAAUACCGGAUAAUAUUUUGAACCGCAUGGUUCAAAAGUGAAAGACGGUCUUGCUGUCACUUAUAGAUGGAUCCGCGCUGCAUUAGCUAGUUGGUAAGGUAACGGCUUACCAAGGCAACGAUGCAUAGCCGACCUGAGAGGGUGAUCGGCCACACUGGAACUGAGACACGGUCCAGACUACUACGGGAGGCAGCAGUAGGGAAUCUUCCGCAAUGGGCGAAAGCCUGACGGAGCAACGCCGCGUGAGUGAUGAAGGUCUUCGGAUCGUAAAACUCUGUUAUUAGGGAAGAACAUAUGUGUAAGUAACUGUGCACAUCUUGACGGUACCUAAUCAGAAAGCCACGGCUAACUACGUG